UACGGAGGGUGCAAGCGUUAUCCGGAUUCACUGGGUUUAAAGGGUGUGUAGGUGGGCAAGUAAGUCAGUGGUGAAAUCUCCGGGCUUAACCCGGAAACUGCCAUUGAUACUAUUUGUCUUGAAUACUGUGGAGGUCAGCGGAAUAUGUCAUGUAGCGGUGAAAUGCUUAGAUAUGACAUAGAACACCAAUUGCGAAGGCAGCUUACUACGGAUAUAUUGACACUGAGGCACGAAAGCGUGGGGAUCAAACAGG
rnacentral:rRNA from 1 species